rnacentral:rRNA from 1 species
GAUGAACGCUGGCGGCGUGCUUAACACAUGCAAGUCGAACGGUGAACACGGAGCUUGCUCUGUGGGAUCAGUGGCGAACGGGUGAGUAACACGUGAGCAACCUGCCCCUGACUCUGGGAUAAGCGCUGGAAACGGCGUCUAAUACUGGAUACGAGUGGCGGCCGCAUGGUCAGUUACUGGACAGAUUUUUUGGUUGGGGAGGGGCUCGCGGCCUAUCAGCUUGUUGGUGAGGUAAUGGCUAACCAAGGCGUCGACGGGUAGCCGGCCUGAGAGGGUGACCGGCCACACUGGGACUGAGACACGGCCCAGACUCCUACGGGAGGCAGCAGUGGGGAAUAUUGCACAAUGGGCGAAAGCCUGAUGCAGCAACGCCGCGUGAGGGAUGACGGCCUUCGGGUUGUAAACCUCUUUUAGCGGGGAAGAAGCGAAAGUGACGGUACCUGCAGAAAAAGCGCCGGCUAACUACGUGCCAGCAGCCGCCGUAA